rnacentral:rRNA from 1 species
GACGAACGCUGGCGGCGUGCUUAACACAUGCAAGUCGAACGAUGAAGCUGGAGCUUGCUCCAGUGGAUUAGUGGCGAACGGGUGAGUAACACGUGAGCAAUCUGCCCUUGACUCUGGGAUAACUGCGGGAAACUGUAGCUAAUACCGGAUAUGACACCUUGGGGCAUCCCGAGGUGUGGAAAGAAUUUCGGUCAAGGAUGAGCUCGCGGCCUAUCAGCUUGUUGGUGAGGUAACGGCUCACCAAGGCGACGACGGGUAGCCGGCCUGAGAGGGUGACCGGCCACACUGGAACUGAGACACGGUCCAGGCUCCUACGGGAGGCAGCAGUGGGGAAUAUUGCACAAUGGGCGAAAGCCUGAUGCAGCAACGCCGCGUGAGGGAUGUCGGCCUUCGGGUUGUAAACCUCUUUUAGCAGGGAAGAAGCGAAAGUGACGGUACCUGCAGAAAAAGCACCGGCUAACUACGUGCCAGCCGCCGCGGUAA